rnacentral:rRNA from 1 species
CACGCUGGCGGCGUGCUUACACAUGCAAGUCGAGCGGGAAACUUCGGUUUCCAGCGGCGGACGGGUGAGUAACACGUGGGCAACCUGCCUCACAAUGAGGGAUAGCCUUCCGAAAGGAAGAUUAAUACCUCAUAAUACAAAGAAAACGCAUGUUUUCUUUGCCAAAGAAUUUCGUUGUGAGAUGGGCCCGCGGCGCAUUAGCUUGUUGGUGAGGUAACGGCUCACCAAGGCUUCGAUGCGUAGCCGACCUGAGAGGGUGAUCGGCCACAUUGGAACUGAGACACGGUCCAGACUCCUACGGGAGGCAGCAGUGGGGAAUAUUGCACAAUGGAGGAAACUCUGAUGCAGCAACGCCGCGUGAGUGAUGAAGGUCUUCGGAUUGUAAAGCUCUGUCUUCUGGGACGAUAAUGACGGUACCAGAGGAGGAAGCCACGGCUAACUACGUGCCAGCAGCCGCGGUAAUACGUAGGUGGCAAGCGUUGUCCGGAUUUACUGGGCGUAAAGGAUGUGUAGGCGGAUAUUUAAGUGAGAUGUGAAAUMCCCGGGCUUAACUUGGGGGCUGCAUUUCAACUGGAUGUCUAGAGUGCAGGAGAGGAAAGCAGAAUUCCUAGUGUAGCGGUGAAAUGCGUAGAGAUUAGAGAUACCAGUGCGAAGCGCUUUCUGGACUGUACUGACGC